GCCAGCAGCCGCGGUAAUUCCAGCUCUCAAAGUGUAUAUCGUCAUUGCUGCGGUUAAAAAGCUCGUAGUUGGAUCUGCGUCUUAGGACUUGGUCCAUCCAAUGGAUGUGAACUAGGAUUCUAGACUAAUAUUACAAGUUUUCUAUAUGUUACCUUAAUUGGUUGCAUAUAGUAGCUAGUAAGUUUACCUUGAAAAAAUUAGAGUGCUCAAUGCGGGCUAAUGCCUGAAUACUCGUGCAUGGAAUAAUAAAAUAGGAUCUUGGUUCUAUUUUGUUGGUUUUCUGAUCUGAGAUAAUGGUUAAGAGGGACGGACGGGGGCAUUCGUAUCGCUACGUGAGAGGUGAAAUUCUUGGACCGUAGCGAGACGUACAACUGCGAAAGCAUUUGCCAAGAAUGUCUUCAUUAAUCAAGAACGAAAGUCAGAGGUUCGAAGGCGAUCAGAUACCGCCCUAGUUCUGACCGUAAACGAUACCAACUAGCGUUCCGUCGGCGGUAAAUACGCCUUGACGGGCAGCUUCCCGGAAACGAAAGUUUUUCGGUUCCGGGGGAAGUAUGGUUGCAAAGCUGAAACUUAAAGAAAUUGACGGAAGGGCACCACCAGGAGUGGAGCCUGCGGCUUAAUUUGACUCAACACGGGAAAACUCACCUGGCCCGGACACCGUGAGGAUUGACAGAUUGAGAGCUCUUUCAUGAUUCGGUGGUUGGUGGUGCAUGGCCGUUCUUAGUAGGUGCUGUGAUU
rnacentral:rRNA from 1 species